AUUGAACGCUGGCGGCACGCUUAACACAUGCAAGUCGAACGGCAGCGGGGGGAGCUUGCUCCCUGCCGGCGAGUGGCGAACGGGUGAGUAACGCGUCGGGAUCUGCCUGUUAGAGGGGGAUAAGCCGGGGAAACUCGGACUAAUACCGCAUACGACCUGAGGAGGAAAGGACGGGACCUGGAAACAGGCCGUGCGCUAACAGAUGAACCUGCGAUAGAUUAGCUAGUUGGGAGGGGAAAGGCCUACCAAGGCGACGAUCUAUAGCUGGUCUGAGAGGAUGACCAGCCACACUGGAACUGAGAUACGGACGAGACUCCUACGGGAGGCAGCAGUGGGGAAUAUUGGACAAUGGGGGCAACCCGGAUCCAGCGAUGCCGCGUGUGUGAAGAAGGCCUGAGGGUUGUAAAGCACUUUAGUUGGGGAGGAGAGUCUGAAGUCGAAUAGGCUGAAGAGUAGACGGUACCCAAAGAAUAAGCACCGGCUAACUCUGUGCCAGCCGCCGCCGUAA
rnacentral:rRNA from 1 species